AUGGUGCCCGAUGAUGAGCAACAAACAACUAUAAGUAGGGAAGCUGAUGACUAUGAGCUGUCGGAAGGUGAAUAUCCACACAAAGGGAGAAACCGUCUAGAGUAUAAGAGAUUGAAUAAGCUAUCAUAUGUCUCGUACAACCGGAAAAAGGAACCUAGGUUUCAGAAUCUGCGUGAGCAAGGCUCUAAAGCAAUGAAAUCUAACGCACUUGUCCUAGAAGAAUUUCAAUGGGAUAAUGAAUGGGUUGUCAUGGAUGGUGAAACACCACUACUUUGGCCUCAAGUUGAUGAAGCCAUGGGUGCGUUGACUUCUCUAGCAGGUCGCAACUAUCCUAGGAGAGCUCGUGGUGAUCCUGUCGAGCCUGUUGCACGACCCAUAGGCCCUUAUAUCACCUACACCUGGAACCACGCAAGAACAAGGCUGGUUGUGCAUGAUGAAGAGUUGAGGGCUGAAUUAGAAGCGGCAAAAUAUGACAAAGAUAUGGAGAGCAACGAUGAAGACAAUGGCGAUUCACCAAAUGAUGAAGAUACCGGUUUUCAGCUUGAAGACAUGGAUCUUGAGGCCAUUCAUGUUUUGGUUAUCGUUGAAGUGUUGAACUGA
rnacentral:rRNA from 1 species